rnacentral:lncRNA from 1 species
AUGGAGAGCCCAAUGAGCGAUGGGUGCUACAGGUGCAGCAGGUGCCAUCCAAGCUUACCUGGGGAUCGAGUAUACACCGGAGAGUUUGGACGAGGGACCACCAGAGGGGCCCGACCUGAUCUGGCUGGAGAACAAUGGUGCAGGGGGUCUAUUCUAUGUUCUCCAGCCAGAUCAGGUCGGGCCCCUCUGGUGGUCCCUCGUCCAAACUCUCCGGUGUAUACUCGAUCCCCAGGUAAGCUUGGAUGGCACCUGCUGCACCUGGAGCGCCCAUCGCUCAUUGGGCUCUCCAUCCAUCCUGUGAAGGGGUCAUUAAUGCCGGAGCUCUCUGCCAACUCUAAUCUGAGGGACUGUAACCCAGCUGAAAUUUGAUUGCAUCAUCCUUGGGUAGUUGGUCGGCUCCGGGCGUGUCUGCAUCUGGCUCCUCCUCUGGCCCUGGAACUUUGUGUUUCUCUUGCUGGAAUUACAAACUUAUGUACAACAGUUAGAUGUUCAAACAUAUUUUCCUUAAUUCUAUUUCUAAUUACUCUAAUGGAAGUCCCUUUUGGGACCCUUGAAUGUUAAGUGAAGGCAUGGGUCGACCCUUAAGCAUUUCAUGCGGGGUUAGAUGCGUCGUUCUGUUAGUUUUCAUGCGAUAACUCAUUAGUGUCAGUCGUAGUGCAUUAGUCCUUUAAUUUAGUACUCUAAUUUAAUUUUGUUAAUCUUUGUCUUAAGCGUCCCAUUCCUCUCUCCACCAUACCUUGUGGUUGAGGAUUGGGGCGUAAUCUAGUCUUUAUUUGACAUGCAAAUGUUGAAUCACAUGUUUGAGUGUUCUCUGAAUAAACGUUUUGUCUGAGCUUAUUUCUGACGGAAUUCCAAACCGUGUCUUGACUUCUCCAGUCAGAAACUUGAUUACUGUAGUCGCACUUUGGUCUUUUGAUGGGACUGCUUCUACCCAUCUGUUGAACACUGUAUUUCACACUCAUUUAGCUGGAUGUCAAUCAUUGUUUGCAAGUAUGGUGAAGAAAAACCUUGUUUUCUAAUUAUUAUUAUUAUUAUUUAUUUUAUUUUUUUAAUUCUCCUCAAUACCUCACCCCUUGCGCAAUGGUCAACACCAUGCGCAUUAAAUGAUAAGCAAAUCUAAGAACGCCGUUGGUGCAACCAACGUCGAAACGUCUAACCUUAACCAUCAGCAAAUUAAAGCCAAUCUUUUGGGAAGGGAAAUCGAAACCAGUAUGUCCAAAUCCAAAGCCCAAUAUGGGUGGGUUUACCAUCAGCCGCCUGAAACCACGCUGUUCCAAAGUCAUGCACUAAACCGAAAAAACGUACAUGCGUUAGUGGCCUUCUAUACCACAAAGGUAAAAUAAAAUAAAAUAAAACGCGACAUGCCCCGUUCCAAGACCACCUCUGCUGCAAGAGCUGACAUAUCUGACGCCUGUUCCUCCUCCA